GUAGGUGGCAAGCGUUGUCCGGAAUUAUUGGGCGUAAAGCGCGCGCAGGUGGGGUUCUUUUAAGUCUGAUGUGAAAGACCCCCGGGCUCAACCGGGGAGGGUCAUUGGAAACUGGGGAACUUGAGUGCAGGAGAGGAAAGUGGAAUUCCACGUGUAGCGGUGAAAUGCGUAGAUAUGUGGAGGAACACCAGUGGCGAAGGCGACUUUCUGGCCUGUAACUGACACUGAGGCGCGAAAGCGUGGGGAGCAAACAGGAUUAGAUACCCUGGUAGUCCACGCCGUAAACGAUGAGUGCUAAGUGUUGGGGGGUUUCCGCCCCUCAGUGCUGCAGCUAACGCAUUAAGCACUCCGCCUGGGGAGUACGGCCGCAAGACUG
rnacentral:rRNA from 1 species